GGUUGGUUGAACGUCCCAUGCGUGUUGUGAGACGCGACGCAAUCAAAGACUGAUCUUCCGGUAUCAACACUUGAUCAGAUGGAAGAGUGUACAGGAGGUUGUUAUUUGACAGAUUUUGCAAGCUGGGCGCACGGAACAUGCGGCAGUAGCUAGCAGUGGUUGUGCACAAGGUCCAGCAGGAAAAUGAAUGUUGUCUCAGCAAAAAAGAAGCCACUCAAUGCUACUGGGAUCAAAGACUGCCCUGCCCGUGUCUACACUGAGGCCACUGCUGGCUGCAGCCUUCCUCACGGUAUCCGAAUUAAAGUAGAACCAAGUCACGAUGAGACGCAGACAAUCAAAGAAGAGGUGACAUCUGCAGAGCCCUGUCCCUCGAAAGCCGUCUCUCCCUCGAAAGCCGUCUCUCCCUCGGAAGUCAUCUCUCCCAAGCUGGAGCCGGACUGUGAGGGGGUGAGUUCGUGGGCUGUGAUAAUAAAAACAGAACCAGAAUCCGACUUCGAGAUCCCGCAGCCAGGAGAGGCAGAUCUCAAGCCUGUUAAGAGAGAAGAUGAAGGGGAUCAAGACGUCAAGCUGGAGGCACCGGAGGAUGGUGCGUCAUUGGCUACAGAUGGCCAAAUCAAGUGUGGCAGACCACUAUCCUCUCCAGAAGCGCACGCAACACCCCCUCGGAAAAGGCCAAACUCCAGCGUCCCUCCCGACGUGAGGAAGGACGGCAUUGAUCAUUUCCCCACGUGGGGAACUCGACAGAGAUGCAAGUACUGCACAGGCAAUCACUUCUCACACGUCUACUGUGGGAAAUGCAAAGUCCAUCUUUGCCUGAACAAGGACAGAAACUGUUUCAUUGCCUACCACAAGGCCAAAUAAAAAGCUUGUAUAAAGGUUCGAGUUUAGAAAAAAAGAAACUAAGCCCAAUUUAAUUACAAGUUACUAAAAUAAAAGUUGUUAUCAAUAAAUUGCCAUAAAGACCCGAUGAAUCAAAUAUAUCAUAUAUGGAAAUGAUUACGAUCUUUUAGUUUUUUUUGUAUUUUGUAAAAAAUUAAAUAAAAAAAAGGUCUAAUAAACACACACAAAAAAAAUAUUUUCUGCCUGUUAUUUGAUGUGUCAGGACUCACAGGGUUAAGACAUGGUGAACACAUAUGCCCAUUGAAAGGCUAGCCUACGCAUCAGUCUAUCCUGUUUUAGGUGCCAUUUUAACAUUCCAUUAUCAUUCCUCAGAGUACAGCAUGACUUGUUGCACUCCUAAACGUAAUAAAGGUUCAGCCCCAUUCCGUUUAGUGCAACAUUUUAUGGAUUUUUCUCUACAUCACUUUGACUAUGUCUCAACCAGGGUCCAUGGCCUAAACACUAGAGGUGUUGCGACACACUGCCGUCUGAGUGUUUAUAAAAACUAUUUGUAAAAACUGAUUUGCAGCAAAUAAUUAAUGGCCCACUGCUAUCAGGCAUUUCCCCAAAGUCACUAAAAACAUUCGCCGUUAAACCACCCUUCAAAAAGAGAACUCUGGAUGCCUUUGUGUUAAACAACUAUAGAUGUGUGUCCUCCUCGAUUGUUUUCAAUCAACUCAACAAUUUUUUUUUUAACUCAAGCGUCAUUUUGACGAAUUUUGAUCAGGCUUCCAUCCUCACCAAAGUGACCGCACUUAUAAAAGUGUUAAAUGAUAAACGCCUGAAUACUGAUUCAGGUAAAAUACCAGUUCUGGUUUUACUAGAUCUCAGUGCUGCAUUUAACUCUGUAGACCAUAGAAUACUGCUGGAGAGGUGGGGAAAUUGGGUAGGACUUUCCGGAGCUGUCCUUCACUGGCAGUUAUGAAUCUGAGUGGCGAUGACAUGAGGAGUCACCCAGGGAUCAGUUCUCUGACCUCUUCUGUUCAAUCUCUAAUUCUAUAUAAUAACAACAUUGAUUACAAUAGUAAUGCAGAUGAUACACAGAUACAUCUGGCUCUCGCACCAGAUGACUUCAGCCCAAACAACUCACCGUGUCAAUGCUUAGAGCUAAUAAAUAAUUGGAUGAGCCAAAAUGUUCUUCAAUAAGCAUAAAACAGAGAUUAUUGUGAUUGGCAAAAAAGAGACGAGAAUUAGCAUUAGCAUUAGCAACCACCUUGACUCUUAAGAUUUACAAACCAAAGGCCAAGUCCGAAAACUUGGCAUUCUUACAGACUCAGAUCUCACUCUUACCAACCAUUACAAAGCAGCCUCCUAUCAUCUGAAAAUAUAGCCAGAAUCAACGGUUUGGUGUCCCACAAAGACCACGAGAAGCUCAUUCAUGGUUUUUUUCCCAGUAGGGUGAACUACUGUAAUGGUCUUUUAACGGGUCUUCCCAAAAAAGACCUUUAGACAGCUGCAGCUCAUUCAAAAUGCUGCUGCUAGACUUUUAUACAGAGAACAGAGCUUAUUACUUUACAUUGGCUAGUUAGUUGCAGAAUAGAUUUUAAAGUGCUGCUACUAGUCUGAAUCACUGAAUGGUUUGGGCCCAGAAUACAUCUGGAACAAACCGGCAGAAUGUCUUAGAUGUGCCCCAAAUGGAGCUAUUUAUAAAUCCAGGUUAAAAACAUUUCUCUUUUCUUGUGCCUACAAUUGAGGUCUUAAACUUGCACUAUAUUCUUACUGUACUUUACUCUUAAAGUUUAAUUAUUUAAAAUGUAAUAUUAUUUAUCUUUUAAUUAUGUAUGUACUGUGUACUUUCUUUUAAUUAUUUAUGUCUUUGUUCUUUUAAUUUCCACUAAUGUAGUGUGUACUUUCUUGUUAUUUUAUAUAUAUAUAUAUAUAUAUAUAUA
ensembl:lncRNA